rnacentral:siRNA from 1 species
GACAAGAAGCGAUCAGAUGCU